rnacentral:miRNA from 1 species
UCUCACUUGGGACAUAUGGCAUUUCCUCUCUCUCUCUCUCUCUCUCUCUCUCUCUCUGUGUGUGUGUGUGUGUGUGUGUGUGUGUGAGAGAGAGAGAGAGAGAGAGAGAGAGACUAUAUUUGCAUUGCAA